AGAGUUUGAUCCUGGCUCAGGAUGAACGCUAGCUACAGGCUUAACACAUGCAAGUCGUGGGGCAGCGGAUGCUUAGCUUGCUAAGUAUGCCGGCGACCGGCGCACGGGUGAGUAACGCGUACCGAACCUGCCCAUCACACAGGGAUAGGCUUGCGAAAGCAAGAUUAAUACCUGAUGGUCUCAGUUGUAUGCAUGUAUGAUUGAGUAAAGCCUUCGGGCGGUGAUGGAUGGCGGUGCGUCCCAUUAGGAAGUUGGCGGGGUAACGGCCCACCAAUCCUUCGAUGGGUAGGGGUUCUGAGAGGAAGGUCCCCCACAUUGGAACUGAGAUACGGUCCAAACUCCUACGGGAGGCAGCAGUGAGGAAUAUUGGUCAAUGGGCGAGAGCCUGAACCAGCCAAGUAGCGUGCGGGAUGAAGGCCCUUGUGGUCGUAAACCGCUUUUAUCAGUGAAUAAAGUGCAUCACGUGUGGUGUCAUUGCAGGUAGCUGAAGAAAAAGGACCGGCUAAUUCCGUGCCAGCAGCCGCGGUAAUACGGAAGGUCCGGGCGUUAUCCGGAAUUAUUGGGUUUAAAGGGAGCGCAGGCGGGAGUAUAAGUCAGCUGUUAAAUAUCAGGGCCCAACUCUGUUAUGCAGUUGAAACUAUAUUUCUUGAGUACGCACAGGGAUGGCGGAAUUCAGGGUGUAGCGGUGAAAUGCUUAGAUAUCCUGAAGAACUCCGAUCGCGAAGGCAGCCAUCCGGAGCGUAACUGACGCUGAGGCUCGAAGGUGCGGGUAUCGAACAGGAUUAGAUACCCUGGUAGUCCGCACGGUAAACGAUGAAUACUCGCAGUUCGGCCUUUUAGGUCGAGUUGUCCAGCGAAAGCGUUAAGUAUUCCACCUGGGGAGUACGCCGGCAACGGUGAAACUCAAAGGAAUUGACGGGGGCC
rnacentral:rRNA from 1 species